UACGUAGGGUGCAAGCGUUGUCCGGAAUUAUUGGGCGUAAAGAGCUCGUAGGCGGUUUGUCGCGUCUGCUGUGAAAACCCGAGGCUCAACCUCGGGCCCGCAGUGGGUACGGGCAGACUAGAGUGCGGUAGGGGAGAUUGGAAUUCCUGGUGUAGCGGUGGAAUGCGCAGAUAUCAGGAGGAACACCAAUGGCGAAGGCAGAUCUCUGGGCCGUAACUGACGCUGAGGAGCGAAAGCAUGGGGAGCGAACAGG
rnacentral:rRNA from 1 species